AAACGCAAGCAGGCUGUCGCACCAUUUUUUGGUGAGGAAAGUCCGGGCAACACAGAGCACCACACUUUCUAACAGAAAGUACUUGAAAGAGUAAGCUAGUGCCACAGAAAAUAACCGCCUGUAAUUUAGGUAAGGGUGAAAAUGUGAGGUAAGAGCUCACACUAUUUAUGGGCGACCAUAAUUUAGGGGUAAACCAUGUGGGUUGAAAGGUCAAAUAUACCGGAAUGCCAUUGGCUCAUGACUGCUCGUCAGUGUCCGGGGGGUAGACCGAUUGAGCUUUUGGGCAACCAAAAGUCUAGAUAAAUGACAGCACACUAUAUACUUUACUAUAGUGAAACAGAACCCGGCUUAUCGCUUGUGUUUUUUU
rnacentral:RNase_P_RNA from 1 species